GCAAGUCGAGCGGUAACAGAGAGUAGCUUGCUCCUUUGGUGACGAGCGGCGGACGGGUGAGUAAUGCUUGGGAAUAUGCCUUUUGGUGGGGGACAACAGUUGGAAACGACUGCUAAUACCGCAUGAUGUCUACGGACCAAAGUGGGGGACCUUCGGGCCUCACGCCAUAAGAUUAGCCCAAGUGGGAUUAGCUAGUUGGUGAGGUAAUGGCUCACCAAGGCGACGAUCCCUAGCUGGUUUGAGAGGAUGAUC
rnacentral:rRNA from 1 species